rnacentral:lncRNA from 1 species
UUGUCUUAGAAGCAUAUAUAUCCUAUAUAUGGGUAAUUGAUAAUAUCCAACGAACUAAAUCUUAUUCAAGUUCAUUCUUCUCCUAAUGGAGAAAUCCAUUAUCUUAUGAUGCUUCUUUCCUUGAUAUCUUUCAAGAAAACUAUUCUAAAGUGUUACCAUUCCUUGGAUCAAAUCUAAGGAUGUAAAUACUUUAGACGCCUUACUCAUCAACUUACAUUUCUUGAAUUCUUUGAAACCUUUUGCAAAGUAUUCGGACUUGUGUUUAUUUAAAAUAAACUAUAGUCCAACCGAGGGUGAUCUUCGGUGAAUGUCAUACAACAUGAGUAGUAUUAUGUUGCGGACAAGUGCCACUAACAUCUAAGUGAAUUAACCUCAACAACUUUGUGAUUCUUUAUUCUUUCCAAAAGAAUGAAGAUUCAAACAUUUUGCCUCUAUACAAUUUUAACAAGAAGGCAUUGGAUCCGGAUCUAACGAUCCUAAGUAUCCAUCUAUGACUAACUCGUAAUUUAUGUUUUUAGAGGUAUCACAACUUUAGUUGGGAUUAGUCACUACCUUGCAACCUUUUGGGUUUUAAGCAUCGUUGUAUUCUAAACAGUUAACACUACCAUAUCAUCUCUACUAUAGAGACAAUCAAUUAGAUUACUAUAAUCCAAUCAUUGAUUAAUAAAGAACAAUGUUUUGUCAAACAAAACAUUCAUCCAUCUCUACUAUAGUGACGGAAUUAAAUUCCUUAAAAUUGGAAUGUAAAGACAAUCUUUGGUUUUUCCAAUUUCUUUGGUAGUUCAUAUGAGGAAGUAAGUACCAUUUGGUUUCGCAGAAAUCUAUAUUUUAUUCACUUUUCGAAUGUGAAGUACUUUCUCUUCUCUCAUUAAUCUUCCACUUCUUAUUAGCCACACUUUUACAACGAUUGUAAAACAUAGUUACUAAUACGGAAUCAAGCAUUCAAGUAGAAGAACCAACUGUUUUGAACUAUUCAAGAACAAUUUACAACGCCUUCGAAAGGUGUGUUCUUGACACUUGCAAGACAUUUCUUGCAAAUACCCCUUCCAAUGUCCAUCCUUUCAU